UGAUACACAAGAAUCAGGGUUGGAGAUCUAAAGUGGUUUUGACGAGUUCGGAGAUGAAUUGAAGGUCGAGCUUGGCAAGCAGAGUGAGUUUGUUUUUCUUUGUGGAGUCUUUUAGGUAGAAAACAAAGCUUAUGUAACAGAUGAAGUAAGGAAUUUUUUUUGAAGUACAAAAUUAAAUGGUAUAUUUUUAUGAUAAUAAAAUAUAAUUUUAUUAUUUUAAUAAUUUAUAUUUUUAUAAUUUUUAAAAUAUUAAAUUAAAUUUUCAUCAUUUUUUAUAGAGGUGUUCAUGGGCCGGGCCAGGCCCAUAAAAAAUUUCGGCCCGGCCCAAAAUAUGGGCCUAAGAUUUUGCCCAGGCCCGAUCCGGGAAAAAAAUCAUAAGCCCGGGACCGGCCCGGCCCAUUUUUAUUUUAAAAAUUUUAAAAAAUAUUUUAAAAAUAUUUUAAAAUUAAAAAAAUUAAAAAAAGUAUUUUAAAAUUAUUUUAAAAUAAAAAAAAUUAAAAAAGUAUGUAAAAAAUAUUUUAAAAUUUAAAAAUAAAUAUAUUUAUUAUAUUGGGCCGGGCCGGGCCGGGCCAAAAAAGUAGUGCCCAAGGCCCGGCCCGUUUUCUAAACGGGCCUCAUUUUUUUGCCCAAGCCCAUAUUUCGGGCCUAUAUUUUUACCCAAACCCUCCCAUAUUUCGGACGGGCCAUCGGGCCGGGCCGCCCGGCCCAUGAGCACCUCUAAUUUUUGAAGUACUCAAAUACAACUUCACUACUAUUAGUUUAAGAUUCUAUAAAUUAUAAAGAAUAUAAAUAAUUUAAAAUUCAUUUUAGGGGAGACCAUUUUAUUAUCCCGCCAGCCCUUAGAUCCACUCUGGUACAUGAUGUGGAUCCGUUUAAAUACGUUUCCUUUUAAAACAGAUAAUGGUGGAAUUAUAAAAGGACAGAUAAAAUAUGACUUGAUAAAAUAGUGAAGAGUUGAUAGUUAAGUUAUGAAGUGGCUUAGAUAUGAAAAUAAGAGUGUCCAAGUAAGCUCCACAUAUUAUUUGACUAGUUGCUCUUUAUGAGUGAGACAUUCCCUCAGCCCAUUAAUCUGAUGAGGUCCGUUUUGGAUUCUUCCGUCAUCAAAUGGUUGAUUUGAUAUGCUUGUUGUCGUCCCAUUUUUUGUUUUAGUUUUCUCUUUGCUCUCGGCAGAAUAAUAUCUGAACCUUUUCUUUAUUUCUUCAGCCUUGGAUCGGCAAUCUAAGAGGUAUUUUCGACCAUCUUGUAAGGGUUUCCCUCAUAUUCCACCCUCGACAUUAGGCUUGGCCCUUUCAACUUUUCUCCAGCAACCUCAUCCCUUUGUUUGUUUAGCGCCAUUAUAUCUUCGGUUCCCUGCUAGUUGGAGCUCGACGGAGCUUGGGAUUCUCCGGACCAGCUAGUUUGACUAGUGGCUAAAGCCACUUUAACAGCCAUAAGUUCUUCCACUGACGUUGGCUCCCUUCUGCUCCAUGGAAAUUCACGAUGCUAUUUUUGGGUCGUCGUGCAUGGUCUCCCUGCGAAGGCAUUACAUGCCGGCGAAAAGUACAUCCCCUACUCUCUCCUCCAGCUACUCCGACAUUCCCUAGAGCUCCUCCGAUAACAA
rnacentral:lncRNA from 1 species